CUACGGGAGGCAGCAGUCGAGAAUUUUUGACAAUGGGGGAAACCCUGAUCGAGCGACGCCGCGUGGAGGAUGAAGGUCUUCGGAUUGUAAACUCCUGUCAUUUGGGAACAAGGUGCACACGUUAACUGCGUGCGUAUUGAUAGUACCAGAAGAGGAAGGGACGGCUAACUCUGUGCCAGCAGCCGCGGUAAUACAGAGGUCUCAAGCGUUGUUCGGAUUCAUUGGGCGUAAAGGGUGCGUAGGCGGCGCGGUAAGUCGGGUGUGAAAUCUCGGAGCUUAACUCCGAAACUGCAUUCGAUACUGCCGUGCUUGAGGACUGGAGAGGAGACUGGAAUUUACGGUGUAGCGGUGAAAUGCGUAGAUAUCGUAAGGAAGACCAGUGGCGAAGGCGGGUCUCUGGACAGUUCCUGACGCUGAGGCACGAAGGUCAGGGGAGCAGACGGGAUUAGAUACCCCGGUAGUCCUGACAGUAAACGGUGCACGUUUGGUGUGGGAGGAUUCGACCCCUUCUGCGCCGGAGCUAACGCGUUAAACGUGCCGCCUGGGGAGUACGGUCGCAAGAUUAAAACUCAAAGAAAUUGACGGGGGCCCGCACAAGCGGUGGAGUAUGUGGCUCAAUUCGAUGCAACGCGAAGAACCUUACCAGGCCUUGACAUGCAUCUCUAAGUUGGUGAAAGCCAGCGAGUCCCGAAAGGGACAAUUUGCACAGGUGCUGCAUGGCUGUCGUCAGCUCGUGUCGUGAGAUGUUGGGUUAAGUCCCGCAACGAGCGCAACCCCUGUGAACUGUUGCCACCGAGCCGUGAGGCUCGAGCACUCUGUUCAGACUGCCCCGCUUUAACGGGGAGGAAGGUGGGGACGACGUCAAGUCAGUAUGGCCCUUACGGCCUGGGCUGCACACGUACUACAAUGCCCAGCACAGAACGAUCCAAGACCGCAAGGUGGAGGAAAUCACUAAAACUGGGCCCAGUUCAGAUUGAAGUCUGCAACUCGACUUCAUGAAGCCGGAAUCGCUAGUAAUGGC
rnacentral:rRNA from 1 species